UUUGAUGGUUAAGCUACAAAGGGCACACGGUGGAUGCCUUGGCGCCAGGAGCCGACGAAGGACGUGGCGAACGACGAAACGCUUCGGGGAGCUGUAAGCGAGCUUUGAUCCGGAGAUGUCCGAAUGGGGAAACCCACUAUCCGUAAUGGGAUAGUACUCCUGCCUGAAUCCAUAGGGCAGUGAGAGGCAUACCAGGGGAACUGAAACAUCUAAGUACCCUGAGGAAAAGAAAACAAUCAGUGAUUCCGUAAGUAGCGGCGAGCGAACGCGGAGAAGCCCAAACCAGAAGGUUCGCCUUCUGGGGUUGUAGGGCGUCUCACAUGGAGUUACAAAAGACGGUCAUAGACGAAGCGGUCUGGAAAGGCCCAUCAGAGAAGGUAACAAUCCUGUAGUUGAAAUGACCGUCUCUCCGAGACGUACCCUGAGUAGGGCGGGACACGUGAAACCCCGUCUGAAUCCGGGAGGACCAUCUCCCAAGGCUAAAUACUACCUGGCGACCGAUAGUGAACCAGUACCGUGAGGGAAAGGUGAAAAGCACCCCGGGAGGGGAGUGAAAGAGAUCCUGAAACCGUGUGCCUACAAUUAGUCGGAGCACAAUCAAUGUGUGACGGCGUGCCUUUUGUAGAAUGAACCGGCGAGUUACGGUUGCGUGCAAGGUUAAGUCUGAGAAGACGGAGCCGCAGCGAAAGCGAGUCUGAAUAGGGCGAAUGAGUACGUAGCCGUAGACCCGAAACCGUGUGAUCUACCCAUGUCCAGGGUGAAGGUGCGGUAACACGCACUGGAGGCCCGAACCCACGUACGUUGAAAAGUGCGGGGAUGAGGUGUGGGUAGCGGAGAAAUUCCAAUCGAACUCGGAGAUAGCUGGUUCUCCCCGAAAUAGCUUUAGGGCUAGCCUCGGAUUCCUGUACCGGAGGUAGAGCACUGAUUGGAUGCGGGCCCCUCGCGGGGUACCAAAUUCAGUCAAACUCCGAAUGCCGGAUACAGCAGGUCCGGGAGUCAGACUGCGAGUGCUAAGAUCCGUAGUCAAAAGGGAAACAGCCCAGAUCACCAGCUAAGGUCCCUAAAUGUACGCUAAGUGGGAAACGAUGUGGAGUUGCCCAGACAACCAGGAUGUUGGCUUAGAAGCAGCCACCAUUUAAAGAGUGCGUAAUAGCUCACUGGUCGAGUGACUCUGCGCGGAAAAUGUAACGGGGCUAAGCGUACUACCGAAGCUGUGGAUUGACACCAACGGUGUCAGUGGUAGGGGAGCGUUCCUGCAGCAGUGAAGUCAGACCGGAAGGACUGGUGGAGCGGCAGGAAGUGAGAAUGCCGGUGUAAGUAGCGAAAAGAGAGGUGAGAAUCCUCUCCGCCGAAAGCCUAAGGGUUCCUGGGGAAGGCUCGUCCUCCCAGGGUUAGUCGGGACCUAAGCCGAGGCUGAAAAGCGUAGGCGAUGGACAACAGGUGGAAAUUCCUGUACUACCUCCACUCCGUUUGAGCAACGGGGGGACGCAGGAGGGUAGGGUGAGCAGACUGUUGGAUAUGUCUGUCCAAGCAGUGAGGCGUGUGUAUAGGCAAAUCCGUACACUGUAACGCCAGGCUGUGAUGGCGAGCGAAAUUGUAGUAGCGAAGUCCCUGAUCUCACACUGCCAAGAAAAGCCUCUAGCGAGGAGUGAGGUACCCGUACCGCAAACCGACACAGGUAGGCGAGGAGAGAAUCCUAAGGCGCGCGAGAAAACUCUUGCUAAGGAACUCGGCAAAAUGACCCCGUAACUUCGGGAGAAGGGGUGCCCCGGUAGCGUGUCAAAGCGCGAGGGGGCCGCAGUGAAAAGGCCCAAGCGACUGUUUAGCAAAAACACAGGUCUCUGCGAAGCCGCAAGGCGAAGUAUAGGGGCUGACGCCUGCCCGGUGCUGGAAGGUUAAGGGGAAAGGUUAGCACCUUCGGUGCGAAGCUUUGAACCGAAGCCCCAGUAAACGGCGGCCGUAACUAUAACGGUCCUAAGGUAGCGAAAUUCCUUGUCGGGUAAGUUCCGACCCGCACGAAAGGCGUAACGACUUGGGCACUGUCUCGGCAAGAGACUCGGUGAAAUCAUACUACCUGUGAAGAUGCAGGUUACCCGCGACAAGACGGAAAGACCCCAUGGAGCUUUACUGCAGCCUGAUAUUGAAUGCUGGUAUUGUUUGUACAGGAUAGGUGGGAGCCGUUGAAGCCGGACCGUCAGGUUCGGUGGAGGCGUCCUUGGGAUACCACCCUGACAAUGCUGGCCUUCUCACUUGCAUCCCUCACCGGGAUGAAGGACCGUGUCAGGCGGGCAGUUUGACUGGGGCGGUCGCCUCCUAAAAGGUAACGGAGGCGCCCAAAGGUUCCCUCAGAAUGGUUGGAAAUCAUUCGCAGAGUGUAAAGGCACAAGGGAGCUUGACUGCGAGACCUACAAGUCGAGCAGGGACGAAAGUCGGGCUUAGUGAUCCGGUGGUUCCGCAUGGAAGGGCCAUCGCUCAACGGAUAAAAGCUACCCUGGGGAUAACAGGCUUAUCUCCCCCAAGAGUCCACAUCGACGGGGAGGUUUGGCACCUCGAUGUCGGCUCAUCGCAUCCUGGAGCUGAAGUAGGUUCCAAGGGUUGGGCUGUUCGCCCAUUAAAGCGGUACGCGAGCUGGGUUCAGAACGUCGUGAGACAGUUCGGUCCCUAUCUGUCGUGGGCGCAGGAAAUUUGAGAGGAGCUGUCCUUAGUACGAGAGGACCGGGAUGGACGCACCGCUGGUGCACCAGUUGUUCCGCCAGGAGCACAGCUGGGUAGCUAUGUGCGGCCGGGAUAAGCGCUGAAAGCAUCUAAGCGUGAAGCCCCCCUCAAGAUGAGAUUUCCCACAGCAUAAGCUGGUAAGACCCCUUAAAGAUGAUGAGGUAGAUAGGUUCGGGGUGGAAGCGUGGCAACACGCGGAGCUGACGAAUACUAAUCGGUCGAGGGCUUAACCAAACA
rnacentral:rRNA from 1 species